AUAACAAAUUGUCCACCACUUUAUUAGCAACAAGCUUUCCAUCUUUUUUUUUCAAAUAUAACAAGCUUUGCAUCUUGAAUUUGCCUACCUACCAUAAAAGCAUGUUGGCACUCACUUAUCACUUUAUACAUUACCUUAUAGAUUCUUCUACCUAGUACCUCAUUAGCAAGAAGCUUUUCCAUCUUUUUUUUUCUUGAAAUAUAACAACAUUUGUAUCUUGAAUUUGCCUACCUACCAUAAAAGUAUGUUGGCACUCACUUAUCACUUUAUACAUUUUCUUAAACAUUCUUCUACCUAGUACCUUUGCAAUGAGCUUAUAAAUAUUUUCAACUAAGCUGAUUGGUCUAAGUUCUAUAUGCAUCUGGGUCUUUUGUCAAGUCAAUUAAUUCCACAUUUUUAGUAUUAAUUGCUAAAGUGCAAGGGGCAAAGAAUACCGAAGAGUUUCAACCUAUUAGUCUUGUGGGU
rnacentral:lncRNA from 1 species